rnacentral:lncRNA from 1 species
UUUCUUCUAAAUAAAUGACUUAGACAGUAAUUAUGGUUCAGUGAUUUAUUAUAUUUGGAUUCAUUUGGUUUUAUGAAUGUAAUAAAGGAUUUAUGAUUCUUGCAAAAAUGAAAAUGGUUUUCUACCCCUCGUGGUAGCGAGUUUUAAAAGGAAAAGGUUUAUGUGUGUGAAACAGUUUUUAAAGUUUUUUGGUUUUUCCUGGAUGUUAGUAUUUCAAAACGAGUUUUCGGGUAGGAAACAUUUUAAACUGAUAGAUGUGAAUGUGAAUGUGAAUGUGAAUGUUGUAUGAUUAUGUGGAUGUUCACAUGUGGUGGUUGUAUCUUGUAUUGUGUAUUUUUUAUUAUACGACGCCAUGCAAAUACAGGGAAGACUCUGUCCGUGUGAACAGUGGACUCCCUAUAUUUGUGGCGGAUCUAGCAUACCCUGGGGGGUUAGGUUUUUCAAAAAAAAAAAAUUUAGGCACUUCCGUAUU